UCAUUUUUUUCUGUGUUUGAUUUGGAUUAUCUUUAUUCCGUUUACAGAAUGAAAAGAUCUUUCCACCUAAAGGAUGUGAUCCAUGAACAAAUAGCAUAUCAAGUCCAAGGUUGUUUCUCUGCUUUUCU